GAGAGUAUAGCUCAAGUAGUAGAGCACAUGCUUAGCAUGCACAAGGUCCUGGGUUCAAUCCCUAGUACCUCCA
rnacentral:tRNA from 1 species